UACGUAGGGUGCAAGCGUUAAUCGGAAUUACUGGGCGUAAAGCGUGCGCAGGCGGUGAUGUAAGACAGAUGUGAAAUCCCCGGGCUCAACCUGGGAACUGCAUUUGUGACUGCACGGCUGGAGUGCGGCAGAGGGGGAUGGAAUUCCGCGUGUAGCAGUGAAAUGCGUAGAUAUGGACGGAGACACCGAUGGCGAAGGCAAUCCCCUGGGCCUGCACUGACGCUCAUGCACGAAAGCGUGGGGAGCAAACAGG
rnacentral:rRNA from 1 species